GUGCAGCCCUUUGGGGUUCAGGUGACUGAGUGUGGGAAGCCUUUGUCAUAGGGUAAAAGUAGAAUACCCCUGGGCUGUAGGCUGCACACCUUGGGUCAAAUAUUAGAUUCUGUAGCUGUGUAUUUCAUCAAAACAGUUCUGUUCUACAAUGGUUAAUUUCCUUGGCUCAGGGUUGUUUUGCCUAUUGAUGGCAGCUGUGGGCAUACAAGCACAACAGACGCCUUCUAUAAAUGACCUGAAUGCCUUGGUAACGUUAUUCGUCUGAGUGUAGCUCCUCUUUUUGAAGAGGUCGACGCUGUCUUCAAUGACACACAAAUCAUAAACCUGACACCUGGCCUUGCUACUCAGUGUGGAUUCAGCUUUAAAUUUGACCCAAUGGGGAAUGCCAUAUUUUUUGCUUCUCUUCAAAACUGCUUUUCCCAGACCAUGGAUGAUAAGAUGUUCAGCUUGGUCAUGCAGUUCAGGCUGCCAGGAAAC